rnacentral:tRNA from 1 species
CGGGGCGUGGGUCUGUAAGGCAACUGUCUUUGGUACCGUCAUCCCUGGUUCGAAUCCAGGCGCCCACGG